rnacentral:lncRNA from 1 species
CCCCAUCAAAAUCCCUCCCACUCCCAAGGUACUAAGGAAGUCCUCAACUGCCUCCUAGAAUUGGAAGAAGAUGGCCCUAUUCUCCGUGUCAUCAGCCUGGACAUUUAUGGUGAAAAACUAGGAACUCUUAUGGAAGGGUCCAGUUCAUUCAUCCCACAAACCUAUUCCGUGCCGGGUACCCUGGGGAAAAUUAAGGAAAUACAUGACAGAAUAAAGAGAAACAAUCCUUCCUUUCUCUUAACACAAACAAAAAUCAACAAAAUCCUUUCCUUGACCUCCCAUCCCCUCCAGAUAACUCAUCAAUCCUCCAUUUCCCUUCCCUGAAAAGCUUCU